GCCGAAGACCUCUCAAACCGUCACAUCAUUCUGAAGCAAGCUCAUGUCUCGCUACAUGCCGAGUCGAUUCGGUUGCUUCCCCUUUUGGACCAGAUUGAUCCCUCCGUGCAUUUCGCUUCGAUACCUCUACAUCCUGGAAGCAUGCGCUUUUAAAGGAGCAAGCUAGUGCGGUGGUCUUGCCUACUGCCAAAUUCAUCAAUUCGGGUGAUAAGGAGCAAAUUCAAUUGGCAUAUGAGAAAUUCAUAAGUACUUGCAGGAAGUUCAAUGAUCAUGUUAUGCACCUUGAAGCUCCAUUGAGAGGGGUGACACCAAUGAUGGCAGCAAUUUGCAAAAUUCAGAGCUCCUUUAGG